GCGGCGGCCGGGACGCUGGCCAGCCGGGCUCAGGGCUCCCCGGUCCAGCCCGCGCCCUCCCCGCGGCCAGAGGCGCCACGGCGACCUGGGCGCGCCCUUCGGCCCGCCCCCGACCAGCGGUGGCGGAGGGAGCGAAGGAUGAAGGUGAAGCAAAGUUUGGCAGCUUUGGUGUGGAAGCUGAGAAAGAGACGGUGAGAUGGCUGGUUACCCAAUGCGGAGAUCUGUGAUGUCUUUAUGUGAUUCUGGCCCCGUUGGAUGAAAAGUACUGUUAAAAAAGGAAGCCAGCUGCUGUGUUGUGAGCUGCCCUAUGGAGAAGCCCAUGUGGUAAGGAACUGAGGCGUCGGAGCAACAGUUGCAUGAGUGAGUUUGGAAGCAGAUCCUUCAACCCAGCCAAGCCUUCGGAUGACUUCAGCCAUUGUGAACUGAAACGUCAUGAGACCCUGAGCCAGAACCACCUAGCUAAGCUACUCUUGGAUUCCUGACCUCAGAAACUGUCCCAGUACAUGGUUAUAUAGCCUGGUUGUAAGUCCUUCUCGUUCUUCUAUGUGAGC